GGAUUAGAUACCCUAUUAUGAUAAAUGUAAAGUUAAAAACUAUAUUAUUAUAAGUUAUGUUCUUUAAAAUAAAAAAAUUUGGCGGUAUUUUAAUCUAUUCAGAGGAAUCUGUCCUAUAAUUGAUAUUCCACGAAUUAAUUUACUUUUUUUAGAAAUUUAUAUAUCGUUGUAAAUUGAAUAUUUUAAAAGAAUUUAAAUAUUCAAGAUUUUUUUAAUAAAAUAAAUCAGAUCAAGGUGUAGUUUAUGGAAAAGAAGAGAUGGAUUACAUUAAAUUUAUUUAAGGAUUGAAUUUUGAAAAAAUUUAUUAAUAUGGAUUUGAAAGUAAUUUUUUUAUUUUAAAAAAGUGAUUUUAGCUCUAAAAUAUGCACACAUGGCC
rnacentral:rRNA from 1 species